UACAGAGGGGGCAAGCGUUAUUCGGAAUUAUUGGGCGUAAAGGGCGCGUAGGCGGCUUUUCAAGUGACGGGUGAAAGCCCUCGGCUUAACCGAGGAACUGCCUGUCAGACUGGAAGGCUUGAGACCGGGAGAGGUGAGUGGAAUUCCCAGUGUAGCGGUGAAAUGCGUAGAUAUUGGGAGGAACACCAGUGGCGAAGGCGGCUCACUGGACCGGAACUGACGCUGAGGCGCGAAAAGCGUGGGGAGCGAACAGG
rnacentral:rRNA from 1 species